AAGUCAAGUCACCUUUAUUUAUAUAGCGCUUUAAGGGGCGGUCACACUGCACUUUUCGUUCCAUUGACUUCCAUUCAUACGCAUGCGAAUGCGUCAGACCGGAAACGCAAGUUUCGCAUUUUGCUGCGUUCCAAAGUUCAAGUUUGGUGAACUCUGACCUGCGAAUUCGCAUCACGUGAAGACGGGGGAUCAGUACAAUAUCAAUACGUCACUGCGUGACCUCUCUGUACAGAAAUUCAAAAAUUAAGGAAGCGCUAAUUUUAGCCGUAGCGCAGCAUCCUAUUUUAUAUAAUACAUCUUUAAAAGAUUAUAAAAAAAUAAAAAAAAGCUUCAUGGUUCGCAGUGUCAAUGGAAACAGGAACAGAUGUACAUUUGAAUGAAGACAUAUUUUAUAAUUUUUUAUUGCGUAGUGUGUAUGUAUUAUAGAGAGAGAGACAGACAGAGAGUAAAACACAAUAAAAUGCUUUCGACGCCGUCGCAAAAGGCACAGUACAAGCACAUUAAUCCAUGUUGUGAUAACUGAGGGGAGACCGUUAACCUGCUCCCGCCCAUAUUCGCAGCAGUGUCAGAAAAAAAUUUGCACGUUCAAAGUCUAGUAUGACCGCCCCUUUAAACAAAAAAGAUUGCGUCAAAGCAGCUGCACAACAUUAAUUAGGAAAACAGUGUGUCAAUAAUGCAAAAUGACAGUUAAAGGCAGUUCAUCAUUGAAUUCAGUGAUGUCAUCAUGCAGCUCAGUUCAGUUUAAAUAGUAUCUGUGCAAUAAUUUACAAUCAACGAUAUCGCUGUAAAUGAAGUGUCCCCAACUAAGCAAGCCAGAAGCGACAGCGGCAAGGAACCAAAACUCCAUCGGUGACAGAAUGGAGAAAAAACCUUGGGAGAAACCAGGCUCAGUCGGGGGGCCAGUUUUCCUCUGACCAGACAAAACCAGCAGUUCAAUUCCAGGCUGCAGCAAAGUCAGAUUGUGCAGAAGAAUCGUCUGUUUCCUGUGGUCUUGUCCCAGUGGUCGUCUGAGACAAGGUCUUUACAGGGGAUCUGUCUCUGGGGCUCUAGUUGUCCUGGUCUCUGCUGUCUUUCAGGGCUGUAGAGGUCCUUUCUAGGUGUUGAUCCACCAUCUGGGCUGGAUACGUACUGGAUCCGGGUGACUGCGGUGACCCUCUGACUUGGAUACAGACUGGAUCUGGUGGCUACGGUGACCUCGGAAUAAGAGAGAAACAGACUAAUAUUAGCGUAGAUGCCAUUCUUCUAAUGAUGUAGCAAGUACAUCGGGUGUUAUGGGAAGUGUUCCCGGUUCCGGUUUACCUAACUAAUUCAGCCUAAAAAUCCUUUGGAUAUUAGAAGUGUAUUAGUGUGCUAUGUGUAAGCCAGGUUAAAGAGAUGGGUCUUUAAUCUAGAUUUAAACUACAAGAGUGUGUCUUAUGACGUUGUGCUCCUGCUGGGUAAAUGGUCCUUCACAUUGUUCCACUUAGUAAUGUGAAAUCACCUGUUUAAGUUGUGAUUAAAUUAUAUGAAGAAAUCAAGCAUAAAAAAAAAAUAUUUUUAGAAAUGCUGGAGCUAUCAAUGACUUCACUUCAGCACAAGCUUAAGGAGUUCUACACUCUUGCCAAAACAUUAUACAGAAUUUGUGAGAGUGCUGAAAUCAAGCUACAAUAGCGAGAUCAUUGCAAUUGCACUGUUAAAAAUAAAUAAAUAAAUAAAACCCGUAAAAAAACAAACAAAAAAAAAAACGGUCAAAUCCCAGCUAACAAUUUAUGGAUCCCAGAACAUUCUGAGAAGGUUAGUUUUUGGUUCCCGGAACGUUCCCUGUUGGUUAGCCAGGAAAGUUUUCUUAACGUAAAUAGAACGUUCCCGCAACGUUCUAUUUACGUUCCGAAAACGUUGCCAGAACGUUCUCUAAAGGUGCCCAGAACGUUCUACUAACCUCCUCUUCAGAUACCGCUGCUGUGCGUGAGUGAUCAUCCAGCAUCCGGUACAGAAAGCGGCAUGGAAGACGGACGGAUAUAGCCUACCUCAGUAAUCACGUCUUGUUUUAAACUAUUGUUUAAUCAUUAAAGAUAACCAGAGCACAUUUAACCAUCAUAAGGAGCAUUAAAUGAGAUUCUUCAUUAUCCAUCGAUUUAACUACCAUGUAGGCCUACCAUAUAAUAACCCAGAUUUUACACUUCUUAAGCACCAAAUAACAAUGACUUGAAUUUUAUUAAUCCAGACAUUAAAAAUGAAUAACAUUUAUUUGACUUUAAAUGGGAUAACAUUUAAUUCAUUUCUUACCACUGAAUCAACGAUGACGUGCUUCUCUCGUCAGAAAAAAAAAAUCGGAUAAUGUGUUCUCUUCAAUUACACGUGUCAAAUCUCUCUGAAAUCACAAUAUUUACUCUCGUAUAAAUUAAUUAUACGUAUUUCUUCAAUAAAGAGAUCAACGAAGGAAUGCUAGUCAGUCAGUAAAACGAAUGACCGUUAAUUUUUAAAUUAUGCGUGCAGAAGCGCGUGCAGAUCAGAGGCGCGCAGUAAAGAAAGAUACAAAUAAACUCGUAGCGGUUUUUGUCACGGGCGAACCUGGCAGCUGCCCAUGGGUGCGUUUCCCGUACAACGACGUAACUCGCUGAUUAACCACCAUAGUACGAUGCAUCGUUAUGGAAACGAACUAGCUAGUCACGACCAUAGACAUAUAAAUAGCUAGACGCCUCAUUGGCCGCUCGACCGCACGUCAACGUCGCCGCCAUAUUGGAGCGGGCAACUCUCCAUUACUCUCAUAUCGGGACAGAGGAAAUAUGUCUAUGGGAAAACAUACCUGACUCGUUGGCAGCUUGGGCAUCUACAAACCAUCGCACAAUAAUAAAAACAGAUUUCGGGGUAUUAUCUUUCACAGUCAGUUGCAAACAGGACAAGGAAAGUCUUAAGGAAAGCUGAAGAAAGCUGUUCUCUGCAUUUCCAAGAGACAAGGCUAUACUUCCACAGCCUAAUGUUGUAUUUGUACUAGUUAAAACCCAGAAUAGCCCUGAAUGAAUGGCCAGACUGGCCCUGGUCAUAUUCAAACC
ensembl:lncRNA